CCUCUAUCAAAAAUGAUCAGGCUGAAAAGAACAGUUAAGGAGCUUCUGGACAAUCCCAAGCCACUUUUUUGGCUCCUAGCCUGGAAAAACUCCUGACAGAAAGCUUGUCUGGUGCCCUUGGCAGAGACCCACAAGAUCUAGUAAAAUGCCAAAGAGAAGCAGAAUGACAUCAAGAGGGAACCACGCUGUGAGGUCAAAGGGCUACACCUGGCCAAAGGCAGAGGCCAGGACCACAACAUCAAUACACAUCAGCAGUGAAAGGAUGUGGAGGAGUGGAUGAAUGCCAACAUUUCCAGAGUACCACCCACCAGUAGGAGGAUGCAAGGCAUAUGUGGGCCUCAUCCAAUCAGUUGAAAGCCUUAAUAGAAGAAGACUGAUCUCUUUCAGAAGAAGCAGGAAUUCUGUCUGCAGACAGCCUUUGGACCACAAGAUCAACUCUCCUCUAGCUCUCCAGCCUGAUGGCCUACCCUACUGAUUUUGGACUUGCCAGCUUUCACUAUCACAUGAAAUCAAUUCCCUAAAAUAAAUCUCUCUUAAAAUAAAUCUCUUAAAACAAGUCUCUCCUCUCUCUUUCUUUCUCUCUGUCUCUGUCUCUGUCUCUCUCUCUCUCUGUCUAUAUAUAAACAUAUGUCUAUAU
rnacentral:lncRNA from 1 species